GCAUAUCAAUAAGCGGAGGAAAAGAAACUAACAAGGAUUCCCCUAGUAACUGCGAGUGAAGCGGGAAAAGCUCAAAUUUAAAAUCUGGCAGCCUUCGGUUGUCCGAGUUGUAGUCUGGAGAAGCGUUUUCCGCGCUGGACCGUGUAUAAGUCCCUUGGAAUAGGGCGUCAUAGAGGGUGAGAAUCCCGUCUUUGACACGGACUACCAGUGCUUUGUGAUGCGCUCUCAAAGAGUCGAGUUGUUUGGGAAUGCAGCUCAAAAUGGGUGGUAAAUUCCAUCUAAAGCUAAAUAUUGGCGAGAGACCGAUAGCGAACAAGUACCGUGAGGGAAAGAUGAAAAGCACUUUGGAAAGAGAGUUAAACAGUACGUGAAAUUGCUGAAAGGGAAACGCUUGAAGUCAGUCGCGUUAUGCAGAACUCAGCCUGGCUUUUGCUUGGUGUAUUUUCUGUAUGACGGGUCAGCAUCAAUUUUGAUCGCUGGAAAAAGGCCUCAGAAAUGUGGCACCUUCGGGUGUGUUAUAGUCUGGGGUCAUAUACAGCGGUUGGGAUUGAGGUCUGCAGCACGCCUUUAUGGCUGGGGUUCGCCCACAUUCGUGCUUAGGAUGCUGGCGUAAUGGCUUUAAACGACCCGUCUUGAAACACGGACCAAGGAGUCUAACAUGCCUGCGAGUGUUUGGGUGGAAAACCCGAGCGCGUAAUGAAAGUGAAAGUUGAGAUCCCUGUCGUGGGGAGCAUCGACGCCCGGACCAGACCUUUUGUGACGGAUCUGCGGUAGAGCAUGUAUGUUGGGACCCGAAAGAUGGUGAACUAUGCCUGAAUAGGGUGAAGCCAGAGGAAACUCUGGUGGAGGCUCGUAGCGAUUCUGACGUGCAAAUCGAUCGUCAAAUUUGGGUAUAGGGGCGAAAGACUAAUCGAACCAUCUAGUAGCUGGUUCCUGCCGAG
rnacentral:rRNA from 1 species